UACAGAGGUCUCAAGCGUUGUUCGGAUUCAUUGGGCGUAAAGGGCUCGUAGGCGGCCAACUAAGUCGGACGUGAAAUCCCUCGGCUUAACCGGGGAACUGCGUCCGAUACUGGAUGGCUUGAGUUCGGGAGAGGGAUGCGGAAUUCCAGGUGUAGCGGUGAAAUGCGUAGAUAUCUGGAGGAACACCGGUGGCGAAGGCGGCAUCCUGGACCGACACUGACGCUGAGGAGCGAAAGCCAGGGGAGCAAACGGG
rnacentral:rRNA from 1 species